CGAGUCGGCAGUCUGCGUCUGACGUAGUCUGACGUACCAGCGCAGCCAUUCCUUUAGGCGUCGCAGUGCACGUACGGCCGUAUCGUGCAGCGCGAGCUGGUAAACAAAAACAAACUACAAGUUGUAAACAUAGGUCCAGUUCUGUGUGCUAGUUGUACAUCACAGGACACCUGACUCACCAUGGAGGGUUGCCAUUUAUCCUGUUCGUUUUAUAACUGUAAGCGGACCUACAAUCAUCCAGACGCUCUGAACAAUCAUCUGAAGGAUCAUCACAAGACACCUGCACAGUCAGUGCCAGGCAAGUCCUUCCUGUGCUCGACGAUAGGAUGUGAAGGAUCUUUCACCAGCAUGCAGCAGCUGAUGGAUCACAUGAGACAUCACCACAAGCCGAAUUAUUUCUUCCUAUGUGAGAGCUGCAGGGCCAAGCUUCGCUCCUACCGCACCCUCCUCAAGCACCUCCAAACCUGCGCCAAGGUCGCCAAAAGCAAAGCGGCGAGAAUGGAGGGAGGUCCGACGCCUGAUCUGGCUUUUCCCGGCAGCGAUUCCGAUCCUCCUUCUUCUUUUCCGUCUGUAGAUGAGUCUCAGCAGAUGGAGUCUGAGCCCUCGCCGCCUCCUCAGGCUCCACAGCCGUCCUCGGCUUCUUCAGUAGAAUCCGGUGCUGCUUUCGAGACAGUGAAACCCCAGAACCAGCCGGAUCCUCCCUACAACCCGUUUCCCCCCAGCCUGUCUCCUGCGCCUGAUCCUGAGACACAGGGCACGCCCAGAGCCGGUCCGGUCAGCAUGGUGUCCCUCUCUCCACAAACUCCACCAGGAUCUAAUGCUGUCUGGAGAAAGAACCAAGCAGACUUGCCUGCGCCCAUUUUGCACAGAUGGAACUCUCCUCAGGCUUUGAGUAGAGAGGAAGUCCAGGUCAGUCAUUUAACAGUCGGAUCCUAUGGGAACACACCAGGGGGCGCUACAGCUGCCUUCAGUGCGGUCACUCCACCCCCGAGCGCAAGGAGAUGACGGCACACAUCGAGGGCCAGCACAGGAGCCUGGGGGGCAAAACUAACGACACUGAUGCAGCAGUCGGUUCUCCUUUGUCCCUGGUUAAAACCUCAGCAAACUCUGACAGCUCGAGUUACACCCAGCUUUAGAGUCACAUCGGAGUUAAAGGUUGGAGUCGGAAGCAGAAAACGACACGCUGCAUGACCUGCAUUAAUAUUUUAAAGUCGCAGUGUAAUGAUUGAAUAAUCAGUGUAAUGAUUACUAACUCAAUUUCCCACAUAUGUCUUUUUAGAUUGUAAUUAUGAUGUGUUUAUUUUUUUUUAAUCUUAUUAUAACCUCUGUAGCUCAUUUUAAGGCAUAAAACAGCAGUCCAUAUUUGCUUCACUAGAGACGGAUCUGAUUUGCUUGGAUGUGAUUGGACACAGAUAGAAGUGCUUCUCUGUUGUUUCUGUAAUGUUUUCAUAUGAAAGUAAAAUAUUGAACUGGU